rnacentral:rRNA from 1 species
UAUAACAGGUUGAAAUUCCUGUACUAUCCUGUAACAGAACUGUGGGGACACAGGCAGAGAGCGUGAGCCGGGAAUGGAAAGACCGGUACAAGCGAGGUAGGAGAAGAGUUGGCAAAUCCGCUCUUUAAUCUGAAGACGUGAUGUGGACUGAAAAUAAGUAGGGAAGCACGUGAGCUGACUGUCAAGAAAAGCCGCUAUUGUUUGCAGGAUACCCGUACCGUAAACCGACACAGGUGGAUGAGGAGAGAAUCCUAAGGCCGACGGGAGAAGCAUUGUUAAGGAACUCGGCAAAAUGACUCCGUAACUUCGGGAGAAGGAGUGCCAGUAAGAUGGCCGCAGAGAAUUGGCCCAAGCAACUGUUUAGCAAAAACACAGGUCUAUGCAAAACCGAAAGGUGAGGUAUAUGGGCUGACGCCUGCCCGGUGCUGGAAGGUUAAGGGGAGAGGUUAGCGCUAGCGAAGCUUUGAACUUAAGCCCCAGUAAACGGCGGCCGUAACGAUAACGGUCCUAAGGUAGCGAAAUUCCUUGUCGGGUAAGUUCCGACCCGCACGAAAGGCGUAAUGAUUUGGGCACUGUCUCAACAAUGCACCCGGUGAAAUUGAAAUACCAGUGAAGAUGCUGGUUACCUGCGCCAGGACGGAAAGACCCCAUGGAGCUUUACUCCAGCUUGAUACUGGGAUUCGGUAUUGCAUGUACAGGAUAGGUGGGAGGCUAGGAAAUGGUAACGCCAGUUGCCAUGGAGCCAAUGUUGGGAUACCACCCUUGCAGUACUGGGUUUCUAACCAGCAGCCGUGAUCCGGCUGGGGGACAAUGUCAGGUGGGGAGUUUGACUGGGGCGGUCGCCUCCGAAAGGGUAUCGGAGGCGCUCAAAGGUUCCCUCAGAAUGGUUGGAAACCAUUCGAAGAGUGCAAAGGCAGAAGGGAGCUUGACUGCGACACCGACGGGUGGAGCAGGUACGAAAGUAGGACUUAGUGAUCCGGUGGUAUAAAGUGGGAUUGCCAUCGCUCAACGGAUAAAAGCUACCCUGGGAUAACAGGCUUAUCACUCCCAAGAGUUCACAUCGACGGAGUGGUUUGGCACCUCGAUGUCGGCUCAUCGCAUCCUGGGGCUGAAGUAGGUCCCAAGGGUUGGGCUGUUCGCCCAUUAAAGCGGUACGCGAGCUGGGUUCAGAACGUCGUGAGACAGUUCGGUCCCUAUCCGGCGUGGGCGUAAGAUAUUUGAGAGGAGCUGUCCUUAGUACGAGAGGACCGGGAUGGACUGGCCGCUGGUGUAUCUGUUGUCUUACCAAAGGCAUAGCAGAGUAGCCAAGCCGGGAAGGGAUAAACGCUGAAGGCAUCUAAGCGUGAAGCCCCCCUCAAGAUGAGAUAUCUCAUAACGUCAAGUUAGUAAGACCCCUUGAAGACGACGAGGUAGAUAGGGCAGAGGUGGAAGUGUGGUAACACAUGGAGCUGACUGUUACUAAUAGGUCGAGGGCAUAACU